rnacentral:RNase_P_RNA from 1 species
GAGGAAAGUCCGGACUCCAGAUAGAGAAUUAUUGUUGAGUAAAUUUCAAUGUAAGCAAUUACGAGGAUAGUGCCACAGAAAGAUACCACUCAGUUCUUCUGAGUAAGGGUGCAAAGGUGUGGUAAAAGCACACCAAAAGUAUUGUUAAGAUAUGUUUUUGGUAAACCCCGUUUUGGAGCAAAGUCACUAGUGUAUAAAUCUAUUUUGUAAUACGCUAGUAAAUAUUACCGCACAAAGUAGUAAGAAAGUUUUUUAAAAUUACUGCAGAUAAAUAACUACCCUUCCAAUAUAUUAAUGAUAUAUAGAAGAACGAAAUCCGGCUUAU